rnacentral:lncRNA from 1 species
GGAGAAGUAAUUCACAUGUAAAAAAUGAUUCAAUCCCCUUUAUUGUGAGAUGUAAUUUCUCCAUGGAAUAAAAAACAUAUGGGCCCAUAAAUCAUUAGAAUUAAAUUGUACAAUGAACAAAAAUGGAAGAUUGACAUGUUUUGGAGGACAAGUUUUGAUUGAGAGAUUGACAUAUGUCAUGAGCGACCUUUAGUUUUGAUGAGAGAUUGACACGUGUCAUGAAGGCUUGAGAGAUUAACAUAUGUCAUGAGGAAUUUUUUUUGUUAUGUAGGUAAUAGAUUUUUCUUUGGUGUGAGUACUCUGCCACUUACAAAUCAUGACAAUUCUUUUUAAUUAAAAAUAAAGGAUUAGAUAAUAGGAAUUUUGUGUGCACCGAUGGUUCCUUCAUGAAAACUAAUUUUUAUCGAGAAGUUGGGUUUAUUGGAUGGAUUUGCCUAUAUCAAAAAA